UCACCUCUUCUUCAUCCCAUCAUCACCUUUAACCACCCACCUCGGUCAUAACCACCACCUACAACUUCAUUAAAUCCAACCCCUCUUCAAAUAUUUUCCAUUAUCCCCACCAACACAACCAUGUAAACCACUUAAACCCACAAAUCCGAAAAUCACCAUCGAAGCCACUUUUAAUUCAACCCGCCACAACCACCCACCUCCGGCGAACUUCCCGCCUUUUCCGUUGCGGCUAACAUUCUGUUCAACUAGAAUGUUUGGACCAGGGCACUCGCGAGAAUCAAGAUUUAAUUUUUAUGCUAAUUGUUAAAUUAAGAUUGGGGCAGUAAGUCAAGUGGGCUGAAUUGGAAUUAAAAAGGAAAUCAGGAGACAACAAUUGAAGGGGAAACAAGAGUUCUGUUGGCCAUUGGCGGCAGCCUUGGCUGCUGGGGCGAGGAGAAACAUAAGGCAAAACAGUUUGAUUGUGAUUUGAAAGAUUAGGUGGGAAAAAGGUGGGCUCGCAGAGGUGAGUGGUUUCGCAGUGGUCGUUGGAGGCUGUGGUUUUAGGUGGAGAUUGGGGUGUUUGAUGAUUUAGUUGCAGACAAAGCAAAUGAGAGAGAAAAAGGGAGUGGGGUGGAGACCAAGGGCUGUGGUGCGAUGGUCGCCAGAAAAUCGUGGUAGUGCCAGUUUGGGUGGAGAAGAAAAGGGUGGGGGUGGAGUGGACCAAAAGUGGUGGUGCGGUGGUCGCCGGAAAAUCAUGGUGGCGGCAAACAGUUUGCGUGGAGAAGAAAGGUGGGAGUGGAGUUGUUGCUUUGUUUUUUUUUAAUAAGUGGGUCCCACAUUUAAAUAUAUCUAUUUAUUUAAUAGUUUUUUGUUUUGUAGUAAGAGUAUUUUUGUCAUAUCACACUUACUUAACUGAGAAAACUAACUGAUGUUAGGCCGAGCGACUAUCCGAGAACGAAUGUGCAAAAGUUGAGAACUAUAGCUGUAAUUUUAUAAGUUUAGCAACUAUAGGUGAAAUCUGAGCAAA